AUGCAAUGAUUGGGUUCGGCAUUUUUAGAAGAAUUUUUUAUGGAAGAAGAGCAAGUUUUUUCUUUGAUGUUCACCAAAACAACUCUUUUUUCUUUCUGUGGAUAACACACUGAGCGUAUUUGGUAUUUGGAUAUUAUAACUAGACAGAGAAAAAUACAUCACAUAGGCCACAUAUACGUUUGCUCCUUGUAUAUCGACAUAGUUGUAUCUUGGUGCAAGAUAAAUAUGACAGGCAUUGAUAAUUAUGCGAAGUUUUUCCUCAAAAAAUUUGUGCGCUAUUAG
rnacentral:rRNA from 1 species